GACGUCACAGUCAACAUGGCUUCUCGCAUGGCUUCGCCGUUCAUGACCUUCCUCUGUGCGCGUCGGCCGUCAACGCGACAAGCUGUACGGCAGUUGAACUGCAUGGGCCAUGACGGCGUUGAUUAUAUUGAAGGCAACCUCCCGCAGACAUGAUUCCUCCAUUCAAACAAGUUGUUGAAGCUGAAAAAAAGAAGCAGAAAUACGCAGAAAUUUGGGUUGAGGAAGCAUUCAUCCUGGACGUGACUUGCACGUUUGACAACCGACCUGCAACCCAGAACGAAGCCCGCCAGAAGGAGAAGUACGAGCCUGUCCGGUAGUACCUGCUGCGGAAGUUCCAGAAGGUGCCCGUGGAGGCGAUGGUCGUCGGACGCUUAGAUGAUGGGACCUCAAAGACGACGGUGUCAUGCGCCGCUUCUGCAGCCGAAAGUACUUGCGGCUUUUCAAGAAACAAGCAGCCAGCGAGACAAUCGCAGCAUCACGUGUUGUGCACGUGCAGCACGUCGCCGCAAAAUGAUGAAAACUCGCCAGGCAGACACACACUACACUAACACACCCUUCUAUCACCAGCCCGAAAAGAUCUAACAAUACUCAACAAACACUAAACGAACACGCACCUUCAUGUCCGCUCCAAAACUAACAUCAAAAUUUUAUUACUAUAUAGUCUUCAUGUAAAUGACAGUCCUUCUUGGGAAAAUUGUACAAAAAUUGUACCAAACAUUUAAAAAAUGUGCGAAGUUUGCACUAUAGUCGGGUACAACUUUAGACGGCAGCGGCAUUUGCCCCCUCAAAGGCGGAUGCGUACGAGCCUCCACCAAUGGGCGCGCACUAUAGACUUCCGUCAUGAGCCGGACGGCCGGUGUCCCUGCCGAAGGAGAACAUGGCAGCCCGCGCUUCAAGCUGGGGCGAGUCGCUUCAGCGGAACUAUUUCUUUAGUCGCGGAGGCAAUCGGCUGCUGCGUUUCGGUCAUCUAGGUGGCACCUCUCCUGUCAUCUUAAGUUGUACCCGACUAUAGUGGUGCAAGCCUGGGUCACAGUGGAGCUAGUUCCGGCUUUUGGUAAGUGUUGCUAGGUUUUGCUAAGUUUUCGAGGUUAUACAUGGCUCGGCUAGGUUCAUACUAAGCGUUGCUAGGUUUUGCUAAGUAUUGCAUGUUAUGCAUUGCUUGGCUAGGCUAAUACCAAGCGUUGCUAGGUUUUAGGAAGUCUUACGAGGUUAUGCAUGGCUUAUCUAUGCUCAUUCUAAGUGUCGCCAGGAUUUGCUAUGUUUCGCCAAGUUACUGCGUGGUCAUACACGGCCAGGCCGGUAAGCCACACGCCCCAGCAAGUCACACGCAUACUUGCCACAGUACGCCCCAUGGGAGCAGUGUACGUGUGUUCACUAGGCGAGAGAGGCGACACGUCUGUCAGCGCUCCGGUUGCUCAGAGUUUUCUAGCAUAUCAGUGACGUCACGGCUAGGGGAACACUUUGCUUCUCCUCGGCUGGGGAGAGGGAAGGCGAAGCGCACGCAUGCCGCGGCCACCCUAUGCACGUGUGUGAUGCGAGGAGGUGGCGUGACUCGGCGACGCACACCUGGUACGAGUUUUCUGUCGGCACGAAACGGACUUACGAAAAGCCUAACAGCUCCGCUGUAAAAAAAAGAAAAAGAAAAGAAAACUUAUCAGCUUAACAUCUAAUACGGGUCCUAUCUGGACCCAAUAUAUUCAACUUAUUUUCGGAAUGGGGCGGAGUGCUUGAAGCUUGCUUCGCGUCCACCACGGGUUGGCCCGGUAUUGCACUGACUCCGGGAUCGGCCCACUCACUCUUACGGGCGUGAGAAAACCUCAUCAGAUCCAAAUAUUACACGCCUUACAAGGUACCAGUACUCUAAUCUAGCUACAGCUUCCGUUCUUGCGUGCAGGAACCGCCCCGGUAGACGUGGUUCUUGCACGCGCGUGUGGUGAAAGGGCUAUUUGAAGGCGUUUAUUUGAAGGCAAAAUGUAUACAGCACACGCACCAGGCAUGCGCUUGUUAUGAAAGCCCUCUUAAACCGUCACAACGCUAUUAGCCCCGAAAACGACCUACAGGGGCGCUGCGAGCGCCGCUCGCGUGACGUCAGGGCACGGAUUCAUGCCUGUCGUCUGCUGCCGUUCAAGCGCUGUCCGGGCGCCUUCUGCAGUGUUUCCGUUUGUUCGCUGUGGUUCCCUGUGCUUGUAUACUUAUGACGGUCACCUCAAAUACAUUUUUACGACGUCUUCAGUCGCACAAACUUAUCCAAAGAGCUUAUUUUCUAAACGACAAUUUAUUUCUCAAGGGCAACGCUGCAGUGCCAGCCGAAGGAGCUCAGACCAGCCCAUUGCGUGUUUUUCAUGCGCGGAUCUAGACUUUGCAGAUUGAGGGACUAAUAAAAAAGCAUAAAUAUCACGUGACUGAUAAAAGCAUAAACGCAUAAACAUAGCACAUAAGAAUUCAGUUUGGAUACCAUACCUGCAGUGGUGAACGAGCAUGUCACUAUGUCUGCUACAUAUGACUGCUGCAUUUACCUUGAUUUUAACCCAUUAAAAGGUGUUUGCUUAUGACGAGUAGCUCCUGGUAUAAUAUCUAAUUGUUCAUUUCUUCACAGAAAUGCUCGGCAGUAACACGAGGACCUGAUACUGCAGUUUAGAUUCAACCAGUACCACUUGCUUCUUUAACUGCUUCUGAAAAUUAGGCCGUUCUUCAACGGUUAAUUUGAAGUGGCAGUAAUUUGAAGUAAAGCUAAUUGAGGCUUACAGCUAUUUGCAGAAUACGCAAAGGAAUGUACCGAUAUUUAUUCACUGUUCCGUGCUACACGUUCAACUCACUUGUGCAGUUUACUGCUGCUUGUUUCUUAAGGAACAGACAUCACAAAUCUGUUUGGCGAACUGACACAGGCUGCUCGGCCCAUUUUUUUUUUUUUUUUUUUUUUUAGUGAAAUACGCCUUUUGGACCGUAUGGCCGCAGCUAGAAAGAAGCCGAAGCCUCAUUCAUUAUCACUCUGGGGCUUAUUGAAGAUAUCAUUAUUCCCCUGUGGAGAAAAUUUAUCACGGCGGUUCCCGUCCAUCUGUACUUAUCAAACCAGCCCACCAAAUAUCUGCUCGACUAGACCACGAAUAAAAAUUAGAAACUUUCUUUGCCCGAACAAACCUUUAGUCCUCGCUGUUAAUCAUUGGAAUCAACUACCAGAGGAUGUUGUCUGUAUAACAAACGAUGACGAAUUCACUCGCAAAUUAAAACUUCAUCUUGGUGUCUGAAUGACUUUGUAUAGUUGUGUGAGAUUUAUGUGCUAAUAUUGAUUUCAUAAAAAC